CGUCUAUAUACGUAUAGCAUAUCAAUAAGCGGAGGAAAAGAAACUAACAAGGAUUCCCCUAGUAACGGCGAGUGAAGCGGGAAGAGCUCAAAUUUGAAAUCUUCAAGGGUUUCCCUUGACGAAUUGUAGUUUAAAGAAGUGUUUUCUGUUAGAGAGGUGGUAAAAGUUCUUUGGAAUAGGACAUCAUAGAGGGUGAGAAUCCCGUAUUUGGUCAUUCCUCCUAGCGUUGUGAUACACUUUCAAAGAGUCGGAUUGUUUGGGAAUGCAGUCCAAAAUGGGUGGUAAAUUUCAUCUAAAGCUAAAUAUUGGCGAGAGACCGAUAGCGAACAAGUACCGUGAGGGAAAGAUGAAAAGAACUUUGAAAAGAGAGUUAAACAGUACGUGAAAUUGUCAAAAGGGAAGCGUUUGACACCAGUGUUGUUUUUCCGAAAAUCAAUUACGAAUGUUUUGUUUUUGAGGAGUUAUGACUUCAUCGGCUUGCUCCUUUCUUUAUGAAACUUUCUUAAUGCACUUUUCGGUUAACAAGUCAACAUCAAUUUCUUUUGUUGUAAAAGGGUAUGAGGAAGGUGGCUUUCUUUUCGGAGAAAGUGUUUAUAGCCUUUGGCUUCUGCAGUCGGAGAGAUUGAGGUCUGCAGCGUAGACUCUUCGGGGUUAGAUAGCAUUUGUGCUAAGUUAUAGCCUUUCAUAGACAACAUUGUUGACUAUGAUUAGUCAUUGUAGCUUACUCGCUUAUGCUAUUUUACCUACGCUUAGGAUGUUGAUAUGCAUGACUGAUAU
rnacentral:rRNA from 1 species